rnacentral:rRNA from 1 species
CAGCAGCCGCGGGAAUACGGAGGGUGCAAGCGUUAAUCGGAAUUACUGGGCGUAAAGCGCACGCAGGCGGUCUGUCAAGUCAGAUGUGAAAUCCCCGGGCUUAACCUGGGAACUGCAUUUGAAACUGGCAGGCUAGAGUCUUGUAGAGGGGGGUAGAAUUCCAGGUGUAGCGGUGAAAUGCGUAGAGAUCUGGAGGAAUACCGGUGGCGAAGGCGGCCCCCUGGACAAAGACUGACGCUCAGGUGCGAAAGCGUGGGGAGCAAACAGGAUUAGAUACCCCUGUAGUCCCUGUCUCUUAUAC